rnacentral:misc_RNA from 1 species
GGGGCUGUCUAUGAAGCUGCUGUACAUAUCAUGUUAAAUGGAUUGCUGAUAGAAUCUAACCAGAAGCUAUGAUGGAGCGAUUAUGGUUAACGAUAUGACACCCUUCCGCAAUGGGAAAGGGAAAUAGAAUCACUUUGGUAAUUGCUUGAACUCAUACUUCAAUAACGUCGGUGAAUAUUUUUUUUCCAAGUAUUCAUUUGGCAACUGAUAUGUUUAGCAAGAAUUCUUUGAUGGUAGUUCAUA